CCUACGGGUGGCAGCAGUCGAGAAUUUUUCUCAAUGGGGGAAACCCUGAAGGAGCGACGCCGCGUGGAGGAUGAAGGUCUUCGGAUUGUAAACUCCUGUCAUUGGUGAACAAAGCCACAGGUUAACUGCCUUGUGGUUUGCUAGUAGCCGAAGAGGAAGAGACGGCUAACUCUGUGCCAGCAGCCGCGGUAAUACAGAGGUCUCAAGCGUUGUUCGGAUUCAUUGGGCGUAAAGGGUGCGUAGGCGGUGGGGUAAGUUGGAUGUGAAAUCUUGAGGCUUAACCUCAAAAUUGCAUUCAAUACUGCUCCGCUCGAGAGCUGUAGAGGAGACUGGAAUUUACGGUGUAGCAGUGAAAUGCGUAGAUAUCGUAAGGAACGCCAGUGGCGAAAGCGAGUCUCUGGGCAGCAUCUGACGCUGAGGCACGAAGGCCAGGGGAGCAA
rnacentral:rRNA from 1 species